UUCUGUUCGUUUUUCUGUAUUAGGAUUUAUGUUCUGAUUCUUUAGUUGUGCUGUUUUGAUUAUUAUUAUGAUUAUUCUAGGUUUAGUUCCGUGUCAAGUUUAUGUCUUUGUGUUUUGUUUCUUGUGUCCUGUUUUACUUUGAAGCUUCAUGUCUUAUGACAGUGUAUUCAGUUUUACUCCCCCUGUCUCGUUAGCCUAAUUUCUCCCGGCUCGUUCUCCCUCCUGUUUCCCAUUCCCUGAUUACUCCCCUGUGUACAUAAGACCUGUGAUUUCCUUUGCUCUCUGUCAUGUCGUACCCUCAAACUACUCUGUGUGUUUCUUUAUUUCUUCGUUUGACUGCCUGUUAGUUUAUUUUCCCACAGGGUAGUUAGUUUUCUGUUCAGUCUGCAACCUGCAAUAAAGCUGUUUAUUUUGAGUUCACCUUUGCCUGACGCAGACAUCAAAGUUUCAUGGUUACAGAAGUAAUAGUGCACUGAGGAA